rnacentral:rRNA from 1 species
UACAGAGGGGGCAAGCGUUGUUCGGAAUUACUGGGCGUAAAGGGCGCGUAGGCGGCCUUCUAAGUCGAACGUGAAAUCCCCGGGCUCAACCCGGGAACUGCGUCCGAUACUGGAAGGCUUGAAUCCGGGAGAGGGAUGCGGAAUUCCAGGUGUAGCGGUGAAAUGCGUAGAUAUCCGGAGGAACACCGGUGGCGAAGGCGGCUUCCUGGACCGACACUGACGCUGAGGCGCGAAAGCUAGGGGAGCAAACGGG